rnacentral:misc_RNA from 1 species
GAGAGAGAAAGAGAGAGAGAGAUACCUCACUUACUAUUACCUGAACUAUAUGAUCUUCUUCGCAGGGGAAAGAGAAGGAGAGACUUGAAUUUCAGAUCAGAAAUCAAGAAAGGGUUGGUUGACGGGAAUGAAGCCUGGUCCGAGAUUUCAUAGGGCUAUAUAUCUUUGAAUUUUCACAAGAAAAGAAGAAACCCACAAGAGAAAAUUUCAAAGACAAAAGAUCAAACCUAUAUCACCUCGAGCCAAACAACAUUCCCAUCAACCUUAACCUCUCAACAUCAAAACCAACCAAUAUGAUCCAAGAACAAAAAAAUGGUAUUUAUAUUGAGGGGAAUGAAGCCUGGUCCAAAGCUUCCACUGCUUCUGCUUUCUUCUCCUCCUAUUGUGAAUGCUUAGAGCCAGCCAACAUUCCCUUCAAAAACAACCAUUAAUGAAACUUUCCCCUUUCUGCUA